rnacentral:rRNA from 1 species
CUGCUGCCUCCCGUAGGAGUCUGGUCCGUGUCUCAGUACCAGUGUGGGGGACCUUCCUCUCAGGACCCCUACGCAUCGUCGGUUAGGUGGGCCGUUACCCCGCCUACUGCCUAAUGCGCCGCAUGCCCAUCCCUGUCCGGCCGAAGCCUUUCCUGCCUCCGGGAUGCCCCGGUGGCAUGUACGCGGGUUUAGCCCGCCUUUCGGCGGGUUGUCCCCCUGACAGGGGCAGGUUGCAUACGUGUUACUCACCCGUGCGCCGGUCGCAGGCGGAAG